rnacentral:lncRNA from 1 species
GGUACCAGCCCUGCAGGGGAAGGAUUUGGCCCACUCCAGUCACUCACAGUGCACCCGGGCUUUGUGCUCACCUAGUGCUCCAGGUGCACCUGUAUUGAAUCAUCGCCUUUAAAAUAAUCAGAGUCAUUACUAGAUUACGUGUUACAAGGUCUGGGUGCGUAAACCCUUAGCACAGAAAAUUCUCUUAUUUUGCUAACUGCUUAACCAUAAAACUGCAACAGAAAGAAAUUGUUCCCGUGACUCGUAUUUUUCAUCAUUUGGUCAUUAAAUAGUGAUGGAUAUAAACCUAUAAAGUACCUAAACUGAACCUUUUAACAAUCCAUGAGCAAUACUAUCAUUUCUUUAAUAGAACUCGCUGACCGUGCCUUUCUAAGAUGCCAUUUGUCAUUUUCAGCGUGCAAUAAUCAAUAACUUGGCUUUGAAAUAAAUAAUAUAACAGUCACAAUAUAUUAUCUUUCAGGCUGGCCCUAUACUAACCAUAAAACAAGACCUGGAAAGAUGAAAACUUUAGGUAAAUGCCAAAAAUGAAACAACAACAACAGCAACAACAAUGAUAACAACGAAAAACAACCACAAGAAUAGGAGCUAACUGAACAAGAAGCUUUAUAUAAUUUUGCUUCCAAAUUAAUUUAGACUUCCCUUCUGUUUAGGAAACAACAUCUACUUCCAAAACAAAACAAGAAUCAGGGAUCAUCUGACUUCAGGCUGGUGACAACCGCCGUCCCCUGGAUUCCCUUGUCACAGGGCUGGUACAACAUCUCUCAGGCACCAGAAUUGAAGACUACAAUUAGGGUGACAAUCUGUGAGAGGACAGGCGAGAAGGAAACUUUAAGACCACUAAAGAAAGAUAGCUGGAGUCUGUAGAGCAUUCAUUAUAAGUAAUGCCAGCACGUGAAUCUAAAAAUAGCGUCUCUGAUGCUGUGUGUAUAUGACUGAUAUUAAAAAUGACUGAUUUAAAAGAAAGCGCUUCACCUCUGUUGCCAACCAGGAAGGCAGGUCUCCAGUAUUCUCAGACUUAAAUGCUGCCAGUAUUUCACGUUAGGAUAGUCAUAAAGUUAAAGGUUAAUAGGCUGUACAAAU